GACUACAGGGGUAUCUAAUCCCUUUCGCUCCCCUAGCUUUCGUCCCUGAGUGUCAGUACAGGUCCAGUAGAGCGCCUUCGCCACUGGUGUUCUUCCCAAUCUCUACGCAUUUCACCGCUACACUGGGAAUUCCCUCUACCCCUACCGUACUCUAGUCCACCAGUUUCCACCGCCUGCCCAGGGUUAAGCCCUGGUCUUUGACAGCAGACUUGAUGCACCACCUGCGGACGCUUUACGCCCAAUAAUUCCGGAUAACGCUUGCAUCCUCCGUAUUACCGCGGCUGCUGGCACGGAGUUAGCCGAUGCUGAUUCCUCAAGUACCGUCAGUUCUUCUUCCUUGAGAAAAGAGGUUUACAACCCAAAAGCCUUCCUCCCUCACGCGGUAUUGCUCCGUCAGGCUUGCGCCCAUUGCGGAAAAUUCCCCACUGCUGCCUCCCGUAGGAGUCUGGGCCGUGUCUCAGUCCCAGUGUGGCUGCUCAUCCUCUCAGACCAGCUACCGAUCGUUGCCUUGGUGCGCUUUUACCACCCCAACUAGCUAAUCGGACGCGAGCUCCUCUUCAGGCGAUAAAUCUUUUACCUUGCGGCUCAUUGGGUAUUAGCAGUCAUUUCUAACUGUUGUCCCCAUCCUGAAGGCAGAUUCUCACGCGUUACUCACCCGUCCG
rnacentral:rRNA from 1 species